GAUGAACGCUGGCGGCGUGCCUAAUACAUGCAAGUCGAGCGAACAGAUGAGGAGCUUGCUCCUCUGACGUUAGCGGCGGACGGGUGAGUAACACGUGGAUAACCUACCUAUAAGACUGGGAUAACUACGGGAAACCGGAGCUAAUACCGGAUAAUAUAUUGAACCGCAUGGUUCAAUAGUGAAAGACGGUUUUGCUGUCACUUAUAGAUGGAUCCGCGCCGCAUUAGCUAGUUGGUAAGGUAACGGCUUACCAAGGCAACGAUGCGUAGCCGACCUGAGAGGGUGAUCGGCCACACUGGAACUGAGACACGGUCCAGACUCCUACGGGAGGCAGCAGUAGGGAAUCUUCCGCAAUGGGCGAAAGCCUGACGGAGCAACGCCGCGGGAGUGAUGAAGGUCUUCGGAUCGUAAAACUCUGUUAUUAGGGAAGAACAAAUGUGUAAGUAACUAUGCACGUCUUGACGGUACCUAAUCAGAAAGCCACGGCUAACUACGUG
rnacentral:rRNA from 1 species